CGAGAACCGAUUCCUGAUAUUGGAGGUGGCAACAUCGCAGACUUAAUCUGCGAUUUGAUGCCAUAAUAGAAAGCUUCAUCGGCUAGUUCUUGCUUGACGAAUCGGCAAACCGUGGAAGGGAGACUGUCAGAUCUUCAGGACCUUUACGAUUUUGCAGUUUCCUUCUGUUUCUGGUCUCUUCCAUCGCUGUCUCCUGCAUGCUCUCAUCCUUAAUUGACAACAGUUCUUUCUGUUUCGAUUGCUAAAUCAAGUUCGAUUGAUUGCGAAGAGGAAAGACAGCGUGGGUAAAGCUGCAAGGCGAUGCAAAAACCGAAAGCAGUUCUCUUUAGUUCCUCCCAUUCAGAACCUUACUAUAGAUUCAGCAUUGAAAGGUCUUUGCUUGAUCGCGAAGGACUGUGAGAAAGGAACCUUACUAUGGAUGAACACUUGUCAUAAGAACAGUACCCAAGUUCAUAUGAACCAUUCACCCAUUUGGGUUCUCAAAUUAGCAGCUUUUUCAUCAUCGGGUGUUGAAUAUUAAUCAGUUUAGGAAGCAACGAUGGGAAUGACGAGAAAACAAAGAGGAAAGAACUACAGAAGCAGCCAACAUGGAGGAUCACAAGUAAUUAUGACAAACAACUUUAAUUAUGACAACAAACUUGGAGGAGGAGGAUUUGAAAGUGUCUACUGGGGUCAGCUUUGGGAUGGAUCACAAGAUAUAUCUUUAGGAGUCUUUGGGAAUUACUUGGAUGUCUUCCUGUUUAUUUCGAAAACGUAUUUUAAUUGUCAUUUCUAGCCUGUCAAAAAAAGAAAGAAAGAAAAGUCUAUGGCUUCUAACGUAUGGCAUACGACUUUCAUUAUUGAUUCGUAUUCCAGCUUUCAUUCAUAAGGCUGGCAAGAACUCCUGGGUGAAAAGCCUCAGUAUCUAACCGUAGCUUACAGCUUAUAGUUGUUGAAAAGAAAGUUGGUUUCGGGGGUUCAUUGAUUAGUGCCCCUUCGGUGAUGGUAAGGUUGGGACUGCGGUCGUCUGUCUCCGCUUUGCCACAAAUCUGAAAGAAGGUUGUUGCGAUAAUGACAUCUGGUUUGUCUUUAAAAUGUGUGGGAAUACUGCUAUAAUUUUCUGUGGCUGCAAAGCCCAAUCAAUAUUUUAAGUGUAAUCCAGGUAUUAGAAUGGAAUGAGUAAAUUGAUCAGAGUAGGCUCAGUUGAUGAUAAAUUUCCUAGAAUUUGGUUAAUGCAUAUUGUUGAUUAAGUAAGGUUGUUUUUGGCCAUGUUUGAUGCGCGUUUUAGAGAAGUAAAUGUAUAAAUGUUGUCACUUAACUGCAAACGAUGUUUUCAUGGUAAUUGAGAUCACUUUCACUUUACCUAAUUUAAUUUAAAGACUUCAACCUUUGUAGUUAACAAUAUUUUUUUUGUUUUUGGCAGGAUGAAAUGAAGAAUUUCACCCCAUUGAUUGUGGAUAUAACCUGCCAUGGGUCAAUGGCCACGUUUGAACAUGUUAGUUUAUCUCAGUAUCUGCCUUUACAUCAGUAUUAGCUCUUGAAGCUUCAGGAUAUUAUGGGACUCUUACACAGUCUCACACACACAUUUUUUGUUCCUUAUUCCAACUACCUCCAUCUUCAGUUCGAAAGGAGUUCACACAUAUAUUCUCCUUCCUCAAUGUUCAGUUAUUCAACAGCCUUCUAUUACGACGGGAGUGCUGUUCGUUUAGUAAUGGGGAAUAUAUAAGAGCUGGUUUGGCUGAGUUAGAGCAUUGCUGCAAUGAAGCAACAGAUGUAUGCAGGCUCAGCUUGGGAUGAACUCGAGCAUAUUAGGCAAGCCAUUGGAUUCCUGGCAAAUGCCCAUUUCAGCUUUGGACCUCUGUGUCAAUAUCUAUCUGUAAGCUACUUGGAUCGCUUCCUUUUGGCCUUUGAAAAUACCUUAUGCAGAAUGGCAAAGUUUGGACUAUGCAAUAGUUGGCUAUGGCAUGUUUGCCCCUUGUGGCCAAAAUGGAGGAGAUUAAUGUCCCACUCUCCCUUGAUUUACAGGUGGCCAGGUCAAAAUAUGUAUUCGAGGCUAUAACUAUUCAAAGAAUGGAGCUACUGGUUUUGAGCACAUUGAGAUGGAGAAUGCAAGCAGUUGGUCCAUUUAUCUGAACUAUUCUGAUUUAGUUGCUGAGACAAGAGGGUUGUUUCCCUACUAGAAAGAACCCAGUCUCAACCCUGAAAUGUUGCACUUGAACAUUUGUCUGCAAUUUUGUGUUUAUGUAGGUGCUUCUGUUCAACGAUUCGUUUUUGGUUGAACAAAAUUAUGUUUUUACAACUGAGGGUCAUCCCUUUCCGGUAUUGCUUCUACCAAAGUGCAUACUUUGUUAUUCUUCAAGACAGUUGCUUUACUUUUACAAUAUGGCUUUGCAUCUGUAAGUUAUAUUGCAGAAUGAUACCAGCUUUUGUAAUAUGUAAAACAAUAACAUAUUUGGUUAACA